GGACGAUGACCGGUGAACCCCACUGGCCGGCCCACUCAGUCCUCUCUCUCUCUCUCUCUCUCUCUCUCUCUCUCCCCUUUAAUGCAUAUAUUUCAGACUCCAAGCCCAACCCCACACCCCCAAACUAGUCCCUUUCCAAGGCUCAUCGAUCUCCCUCGUCCCACCCAGCAGAAAGGUAGCAGUGCCUAUAUAUCCCUCCUCCACCCACUUCUCCAAAUUCUUCCUGACUCCUUUUCCUCCCAGAUUUAAUUUUCCUCGGAACAAGGCAAACGACUUUUGUUUUCUUUCUCAUGCUGUUACGCCAAUGGAGGAGGACGAGUACUUCCACCAUACAUGAGUUGAGGUACUAUCUAUAUGGACUAUGGUCAGUUACUAUAGCGUCAUAUCGAUCGCGGUCAUGGUACUCCUGACUGUUUUGCUUCUGGUUCUGCCGCUCGUGUUGCCGCCGCUGCCUCCGCCGCCGCUGCUGCUUUUGUUCGUGCCGGUCUUCAUCAUGUCCCUCCUCGUUUUAUUGGCCAUAUCUUCUUCUUAUGUGCCUGCUAUCGCCGACACUUUCCUUUGAUUUUAGAAAGCAUCAUCAGAUGGAACUCGGCACUUUUGCCUCCUUCUGCGGAUCAACUGCCCCAAGAACUACUAGGAUCCGCCAUUUUCAGCUGUAAGUAACAACUAGUUCUGUUCUAUAUAUAGAAUAGAAAGAGACAAGUUAUAUAUAUUACAGAUUCUGGUAGCUUUGCACAUGCAGAAGCCGCGAAUCUAGCGAUGGUGGCAAUGCUUCCUAUGUUGAAAGUUGCACUGAUUAAACAAUGGGUAGGAGAAGCCAGGAGGAGGAACAAGCAGAUCAAUUUUUGGGGUAGGAUUGUCUGCAAUUUCAAAUAAACGCAGAUUCUCAAAUUAUGUAAUUUCCCAGUAAAAUGUCGCAUAUUAAAAAUGCCACAGGUUAUAAAUUAAAUUUGAGUA